GGUUAAGCGACCAAGCGUACACGGUGGAUGCCCUGGCAGUCAGAGGCGAUGAAGGACGUGCUAAUCUGCGAAAAGCGCCGGUAAGGUGAUAUGAACCGUUAUAACCGGCGAUGUCCGAAUGGGGAAACCCAGUGUGACUCGUCACACUAUCAUUAACUGAAUCCAUAGGUUAAUGAGGCGAACCGGGGGAACUGAAACAUCUAAGUACCCCGAGGAAAAGAAAUCAACCGAGAUUCCCCCAGUAGCGGCGAGCGAACGGGGAGGAGCCCAGAGCCUGAAUCAGCAUGUGUGUUAGUGGAAGCGUCUGGAAAGGCGCGCGAUACAGGGUGACAGCCCCGUACACAAAAGCGCAUGUGCUGUGAGCUCGAUGAGUAGGGCGGGACACGUGGUAUCCUGUCUGAAUAUGGGGGGACCAUCCUCCAAGGCUAAAUACUCCUGACUGACCGAUAGUGAACCAGUACCGUGAGGGAAAGGCGAAAAGAACCCCGGCGAGGGGAGUGAAACAGAACCUGAAACCGUGUACGUACAAGCAGUGGGAGCAUGAGUUUACUCAUGUGACUGCGUACCUUUUGUAUAAUGGGUCAGCGACUUAUAUUCUGUAGCAAGGUUAACCGAAUAGGGGAGCCGGAGGGAAACCGAGUCUUAACCGGGCGUUAAGUUGCAGGGUAUAGACCCGAAACCCGGUGAUCUAGCCAUGGGCAGGUUGAAGGUUGGGUAACACUAACUGGAGGACCGAACCGACUAAUGUUGAAAAAUUAGCGGAUGACCUGUGGCUGGGGGUGAAAGGCCAAUCAAACCGGGAGAUAGCUGGUUCUCCCCGAAAGCUAUUUAGGUAGCGCCUCGUGAAUUCAUCUCCGGGGGUAGAGCACUGUUUCGGCCAGGGGGCCAUCCCGGCUUACCAACCCGAUGCAAACUGCGAAUACCGGAGAAUGUUAUCACGGGAGACACACGGCGGGUGCUAACGUCCGUCGUGAAGAGGGAAACAACCCAGACCGCCAGCUAAGGUCCCAAAGUCAUGGUUAAGUGGGAAACGAUGUGGGAAGGCCCAGACAGCCAGGAUGUUGGCUUAGAAGCAGCCAUCAUUUAAAGAAAGCGUAAUAGCUCACUGGUCGAGUCGGCCUGCGCGGAAGAUGUAACGGGGCUAAACCAUGCACCGAAGCUGCGGCAGCGACACUAAGUGUUGUUGGGUAGGGGAGCGUUCUGUAAGCCUGCGAAGGUGUGCUGUGAGGCAUGCUGGAGGUAUCAGAAGUGCGAAUGCUGACAUAAGUAACGAUAAUGCGGGUGAAAAACCCGCACGCCGGAAGACCAAGGGUUCCUGUCCAACGUUAAUCGGGGCAGGGUGAGUCGACCCCUAAGGCGAGGCCGAAAGGCGUAGUCGAUGGGAAACGGGUUAAUAUUCCCGUACCUGGUGUUACUGCGAAGGGGGGACGGAGAAGGCUAUGUUGGCCGGGCGACGGUUGUCCCGGUUUAAGCGUGCAGGCUGGUUUUCCAGGCAAAUCCGGAAAAUCAAGGCUGAGGCGUGACGACGAGGCACUACGGUGCUGAAGCAACAAAUGCCCUGCUUCCAGGAAAAGCCUCUAAGCCUCAGGUAACAUCAGAUCGUACCCGAAACCGACACAGGUGGUCAGGUAGAGAAUACCAAGGCGCUUGAGAGAACCCGGGUGAAGGAACUAGGCAAAAUGGUGCCGUAACUUCGGGAGAAGGCACGCUGACACGUAGGUGAAGCGGUUUACCCGUGGAGCUGAAGUCAGUCGAAGAUACCAGCUGGCUGCAACUGUUUAUUAAAAACACAGCACUGUGCAAACACGAAAGUGGACGUAUACGGUGUGACGCCUGCCCGGUGCCGGAAGGUUAAUUGAUGGGGUCAGCGCAAGCGAAGCUCCUGAUCGAAGCCCCGGUAAACGGCGGCCGUAACUAUAACGGUCCUAAGGUAGCGAAAUUCCUUGUCGGGUAAGUUCCGACCUGCACGAAUGGCGUAAUGAUGGCCAGGCUGUCUCCACCCGGGACUCAGUGAAAUUGAACUCGCUGUGAAGAUGCAGUGUACCCGCGGCAAGACGGAAAGACCCCGUGAACCUUUACUAUAGCUUGACACUGAACACUGGUCCUUGAUGUGCAGGAUAGGUGGGAGGCUUUGAAGUGUGGACGCCAGUCUGCAUGGAGCCGUCCUUGAAAUACCACCCUUUAAUGGCUGGUGUUCUAACGUAGACCCGUGAACCGGGUUGCGGACAGUGUCUGGUGGGUAGUUUGACUGGGGCGGUCUCCUCCUAAAGCGUAACGGAGGAGCACGAAGGUUGGCUAAUCCUGGUCGGACAUCAGGAGGUUAGUGCAAUGGCAUAAGCCAGCUUGACUGCGAGCGUGACGGCGCGAGCAGGUGCGAAAGCAGGUCAUAGUGAUCCGGUGGUUCUGAAUGGAAGGGCCAUCGCUCAACGGAUAAAAGGUACUCCGGGGAUAACAGGCUGAUACCGCCCAAGAGUUCAUAUCGACGGCGGUGUUUGGCACCUCGAUGUCGGCUCAUCACAUCCUGGGGCUGAAGUAGGUCCCAAGGGUAUGGCUGUUCGCCAUUUAAAGUGGUACGCGAGCUGGGUUUAGAACGUCGUGAGACAGUUCGGUCCCUAUCUGCCGUGGGCGCUGGAGAACUGAGGGGGGCUGCUCCUAGUACGAGAGGACCGGAGUGGACGCAUCACUGGUGUUCGGGUUGUCAUGCCAAUGGCACUGCCCGGUAGCUAAAUGCGGAAGAGAUAAGUGCUGAAAGCAUCUAAGCACGAAACUUGCCCCGAGAUGAGUUCUCCCUGAGACUACAAGUCUCCUGAAGGAACGUUGAAGACGACGACGUUGAUAGGCCGGGUGUGUAAGCGCAGCGAUGCGUUGAGCUAACCGGUACUAAUGAACCGUGAGGCUUAACCUUAC
rnacentral:rRNA from 1 species